rnacentral:rRNA from 1 species
UACGGAGGGUGCAAGCGUUAUCCGGAUUCACUGGGUUUAAAGGGUGCGUAGGAGGGCAGGUAAGUCAGUGGUGAAAUCUCCGAGCUUAACUUGGAACUGCCGUUGAUACUAUCUGUCUUGAAUAUUGUGGAGGUGAGCGGAAUAUGUCAUGUAGCGGUGAAAUGCUUAGAUAUGACAUAGAACACCAAUUGCGAAGGCAGCUCGCUACACAUAUAUUGACUCUGAGGCACGAAAGCGUGGGGAGCAAACAGG